UACUAAAGAUAAACGGUCACAUAGUAUACAAUCCCUUUUAAUUAUCCACCCACUUAUAUGCCCUAACUUUAGUUUUCCAACCUUAUUUCACUUAAGACUCUAUAAAAGCUCUCUAACCCCCACUUGUUAAGGAUUAGAAAAUUAAACUAGUCAUUCCCCUUGAGUUAUCAAAAAAAAAAACCUAGUCAUUCCCUUGAGAGAGAGAAACUCCCUACCCUCUUGUCUAGAGUGAGAGAAUUUUUCAAUACCCUUCAAGGGUAGAACCAGCUUUUGGCAGGGUAGUUCAAGCAAGGGUUGAAUCAGAAGCCUAGUUCAGCUACCUACCUGUGGUCGAACUAGAAGUGGGUUCAAUACUGUUGGUUUGACCGAGGUCAGUUCAUCCCUUGUAGUGUUCGACCCUACAAGGGUUAAACACAGCCCUUUACGGGAAGUAGUGAAAAAAAGAAAAAACGCAGUUCCACCCUUAAGGGAGAGAAAAAGCUAGGAUAUAGUUCGAGCCUUCAACUUAGUCCACUUUUGAGUUGUCAAAUGCUAUGUCUAAGAACUCAAACGUUUUCUUUUAUAUCUUUACAUUUGUAUUGAUAGCUUUUGGCAGGGUAGUUCAAGCAAGGGUUGAAUCAAAAGCCCAGUUCAACUACCUGUGGUCGAACUAGAAGUGGGUUCAAUCCUUGUGGUUUGACCAAGGCCAGUUCAUCCCUUCAAGGGUCGUCUAGCUUAGUUCGACCCUACAAGGGUUAAACUUAGCCCUUUAAGGGAAGUAGUGAAAAAAGUUAACUUUCUCAAAACAAAACAAAAAAAAGGCACUAGUGAAAAAAAGAAAAAACGCAAUUCAACCCUUAAGGGAGAGAAAAAGCUAGGAUAUAGUCCGAGCUUUCAACUUAGUUCACUUUUGAGUUGUGAAAUGUUAAGUGUCUAAGAACUCAAACUUUUUCUUUUAUAUCUUAACAUUUGUAUUGAAAAAAAUUAGUCUAUGCUCUUGGAAAUACGAGUACAUCGUACUCCCACAGGAGUACCACUCUAGGCACCAUUCCUUAUGUAUGUGGAAGGGAUCUCAUCUUUUGUGGCUUUCUAUUCUCUUCUCUUUCUCAAAUUUAUUUUUGUUUGAGAUAUGACAAUCUUUCUAACUAUUCAUGAUGCAGGGAGAGAGAUUGUUUGGGGUAUUACUAUCUUAUUUAAUUGCCAUGUAUAAUAGAGGGAGAAAGAGAGUUUAGAAAAAAAUUACUUAGAGAGAUAUAAAAAACUCGUCUACCUGGUAUGUUACCUUGUUGGUCAACCCAUCUCCAACGGUUAUUUUCCACCCAAAAGGGAAGCCUAAAAGUUUUCUAUUCUUGGAUAUAGUUGUAGCUUCUCUCCCAUCCGACCGUAGGAUGAAACGAAUACAACAGCCAAAGAUAGAAGACCUCUUAGCGCAUUACUCUUAUAUCUCACUUGAAUCCAUUUGGAACCGAUAGUUUGCAAGCUUUGAGAGAGAGAAAGAAGAGAGAGAAGCAGAAAAUUCUAAAGAGGAGGAGAAGAUAGAGAGAGAGAGAAGCGAGUUUUGUGAGAGAGAGAGAGAAGCAGAACUCUCUAGAGAGUGGUGGAAGAUAGAGAGAGAAAGUGAGAGAAGCCUGGUUUUUUCUUUCCCUCUUCUCAGUUUGCUCUUCUCACUAUGACGUAUCCUGGAAUUGUUGUUUUUGUGCAAAAUCAAGAAAAGGGGAUGUUGCUCUUCUUACUUAUCAUAGGUUCCACAAAUCACCAGGAAGCUACUCCAAUUGCCAGAUCUCUAUGCUGGAAAUAGAUAUGUGGGCCAAAACAAUCUACUAUGGAGAUACACACAAGUUAAUCAUGGAAUCUAAGUUUGUAAAUGAAAACACCAUGUUCAAAGUUUGAAACUAGAACAAAUCCAAUCCUUUGUCACAAUCUAUUAUGACCCAGUAUGAAUGCCUAUAAGGUCCUUAAAUAUCAAUAUUUCUCAAGUGGAACCUAAAUUUUCUCUACUCAUUACAGUUUUUGCUUUUAAAAUAAGAACAAUUCGUAGACCCAAAAUGGGUGUGAUGGAGUCACAGACAAGGGCUGAAUGGGAUUGGAAUCUGAAUCUCAACUUCACCAAUAGUCACUGAUAGCCUAAAAAAUGUUACGGGGUAUGAGAGAUGAAGGUCAUGAUAAUAAAAUUACAUACUCAGAUUCCAAGAUUAACAUUCAUGUGCAUGUACAGCUCAUGUGAGAUGGAGGUCAAGAUAACAAAUUUACAAACUCUGAUUCCAUGAUUAUCUGGUGUGUACCUCCAUGGUAGAUUUUUCUGGCCCUCAUUUUUCUAGCCCAUGGAUCUAUUUCCAGCAUGAAGAUCUGGCGAUUGGAGCAGCUCCCAAUUUGUGGCACCUGUGAUAAGCGAGGAGCAAAAUCUCCUCUUCCUGAUUUUGCACAAAAACAACAACUCCAGGUUUCGUCAUAGUGAGAAGAGGAAACUGAGAAGAGGGGAAGAAAAAACUAGGAUUCUCUCAUUCUCUCUCUAUCUUCCACUCCUCUCUAGAGAGUUUUGUUUCUUUUCUCUCUUCUUUCUCUCUCCCAAAGCUCGCUUCUCUCACUCUCUCUCUCUAUCUUCCACUCCUCUAGAAUUUUUGCUUCUCUCUCUUCUUGCUCUCUCUCUCUCUCUCUCUCUCUCUUAAAGCUCGUAAACAAUCGCUUCCAAAUGGGUUCAAGUGAGACAUAAGACUAACACGCUAAACAGCCUUCUAUUUUUGGCCGUUGGAUUCGUUUCAUCCUAUGGUCGGAUGGGGAAGAAGCUACAACUAUAUCAAACAGUAGAAAACUUUUAGGCUUCCUUCUGGUUGGAAAAUAACCGUUGGAGAUGGGUUGGCAGCGUUAACAUGCCACGUAGAUAAUGUUUUUAUAUCUCUAAGUAAUUUUUUUUAAAACUCUCUCUCUCCCUCUAUCAUACAUGGCCAUUAGAAAAAGAUAGUAAUAACCCAAACAAUCUCUCUCCCUGCAUCAUGUAUAGUUAGAAAGAUUGUCAUAUCUCAAACAAAAAUAAAUUUGAGAAAGAUAAGUGGAUAGAAGGCCACAAAAGAUGAGAUCCCUUCCACAUACAUAAGGAAGGGUGCCUAAAGUGGUACUCCUGUGGGAGUACGAUGUACUCGUAUUUCCAAGAGCAUAGACUGAUUUUUUUCAAUACAAAUGUUAAGAUAUAAAAGAAAAAGUUUGAGUUCUUAGACACUUAACAUUUCACAACUCAAAAGUGAACUAAGUUGAAAGCUCAGACUAUAUCCUAGCUUUUUCUCUCCCUUAAGGGUUGAACUGCGGUUUUUCUUUUUUUCUGUCUAACUGUUGCAUAUUUCAUUUUGAUUUUAUGAACUUUUCCUUAUUUUUGCCUUUUUCUUCCAUUUUCUCCUUUUCUUAUUUACUAUUAAAUAUUGGCCGACUCGGAAAUCGGCCAGUCUAGCUUGGGAGCGGUGGGUUACUGGUUCAACUCAUUAGUCAGAGUUUUCAAAAACGGAUUCUAUCUACCACACGCCAAUUCCAUAAACUUAGUAUUCCUAUGGUUUAGAAAGAGAAGCAAGUAAAUGCUAGAUACACAACACUAAAAUGAUCAAUAUCUGGAAACAUUCAAAUUUUGAGCUCACAAUUAACAAGUAAACAGACUGUUAUGAGCUUCCAUGGAAUCAUAGGCCACCAAUCUUACCCAGACCACCAGAAAUUCUAGAAAAUAAGCUGUAUACGCAAAGUAAUUGCCAAAUGGACAAUAAUUGUGCAGUUUCAAAGUGCAUUCUGGCUAACAUUCCCAUUAAAUGACACAAAGCAUAAAUUGUAGAGACUAGAGAGAGAAAACAGAGUACUAAAAGAGCAGCAAAAAACUAAGAAACCAGUUUCAUAAUUGCAUCCAUCGCCUCAAACCUGUUCCAAUUAAAAUAAAAAGCUCAUGAAUGACUGUAACCCAAAAGAGAUAGAACCCAUUUCAUAUCACACUUCAUCGGGAAGCACAACCAUUGAACAUAUUAACAUCUAGAAAAUGAAAACUGGUGCUAGAGAGACAAAACCCAAAACUAGAAGCAUCAGAAACCCAAAAGGAACUGUAUAUGACACCCGAAAAAAGCAAACACAGAUUUGGAUAAGACGCUCAUGAGACAUGAAAACCUACAAAAAUUCUAGCUAUAGAAGGCAAAUUCCAUACAGACUUAGUAUUGGCACUGUUUAGAAAGAAAC
rnacentral:lncRNA from 1 species